rnacentral:rRNA from 1 species
GCAACGCGAAGAACCUUACCAGGUCUUGACAUCCCGUUGACCACUGUAGAGAUAUGGUUUUCCCUUCGGGGACAACGGUGACAGGUGGUGCAUGGUUGUCGUCAGCUCGUGUCGUGAGAUGUUGGGUUAAGUCCCGCAACGAGCGCAACCCUUGAUUUUAGUUGCCAUCAUUUAGUUGGGCACUUUAAGGUGACUGCCGGUGACAAACCGGAGGAAGGUGGGGAUGACGUCAAAUCAUCAUGCCCCUUAUGACCUGGGCUACACACGUGCUACAAUGGACGAUACAAACGGUUGCCAACUCGCGAGAGGGAGCUAAUCCGAUAAAGUCGUUCUCAGUUCGGAUUGUAGGCUGCAACUCGCCUACAUGAAGCCGGAAUCGCUAGUAAUCGCGGAUCAGCAUGCCGCGGUGAAUACGUUCCCGGGCCUUGUACACACCGCCCGUCACACCACGAGAGUUUGUAACACCCGAAGUCGGUGGGGUAACCUUUA